CCCGCUGAACUUAAGCAUAUCAAUAAGCGGAGGAAAAGAAACCAACAGGGAUUGCCUCAGUAACGGCGAGUGAAGCGGCAACAGCUCAAAUUUGAAAUCUGGUCCCCCACAGGGUCCCGAGUUGUAAUUUGUAGAGGAGAUCUUCGGGUUUGGCCCCGGCCUAAGUUCCUUGGAACAGGACGUCACAGAGGGUGAGAAUCCCGUAUGUGGCUGGAAGUCUAUGCCCAUGUGAAGCUCCUUCGACGAGUCGAGUUGUUUGGGAAUGCAGCUCAAAAUGGGUGGUAAGUUUCAUCUAAAGCUAAAUACCGGCGGGAGACCGAUAGCGCACAAGUAGAGUGAUCGAAAGAUGAAAAGCACUUUGGAAAGAGAGUUAAAAAGUACGUGAAAUUGUUGAAAGGGAAGCGCUUGCAACCAGACUUGCCCCCGGCUGAUCAACCGGUGUUCCUCACCGGUGCACUCGGUCGUGGUCAGGCCAGCAUCGGUCUGGGCGGUUGGAGAAAGACCCUGUGGAAUGUGGCUCCCUUCGGGGAGUGUUAUAGCCCGGGGUGUCAUGCAGCCAGCCUGGACCGAGGACCGCGCCUUCGGGCUAGGAUGCUGGCAUAAUGGUUGUAAGCGACCCGUCUUGAAACACGG
rnacentral:rRNA from 1 species